GCCCUCCCGCGAUGGUGCUGCUCGGGAGCGCGUGAUUGCUGAGGUGUAUUUGGAUUUCCAAUCGCCCGGGCCGCCAUUCGGUUCUCGCAGCUGCUGCCGCGCGCAGGGGCAUUGGCGCUGGAAUCAGACGCUCCUCUUCGAUUUCCAUCUCGAAGGCGAAAUCCCACAGCAUUGUGUUCGGGAUCCAGGAAUCCGGGGCCCGGGAUCACGGCAGAGCCUUCGUCCGUCAGGAAUGCGAGGAAGAAUGUCAAAGACAAGGAAUUUAAGAAGCUGGCGGAUUUGAGGAAAUUGAUGAGCGAAUCGGGUGUCCAAGCUUACAUCGUGCCUUCGGAGGACGCUCACCAGGUUGAAGAGAUAUGCAGAACCUAUGAUAGACAAGGAUAAUUUAGAUUCAUGUUAUUGAGAUCGAGAGGGAGUGUUGAGGUAUAUGCUUUCUAUGACAUAAUGUUACUAGGUUAAAGGUGUGUCUCUUGAUCAUGUAUAUAUAACUAUAAUGUUAUAUAUGAUUAUCCUUUGAGUCA